AUUGGAGCGCUUGGGGCAAUGAUGCAGCCAGUGAGGUAAAACCGAGGCGCAUCAAUUGCUGGUUGAAAACUAUUUCCAAACUGGGCUAGUGUCGGGUACGGGUCCUGAUCCCUCUAUUCGAGGACAUUCUCAAACCAAAUUUGAAUUAUUAUUAUUA
rnacentral:snRNA from 1 species